AGCUCGUAGUUGGAUCUCGGCGGACUGAGGGCGGUUUGCUUGCUAGUAUUACUGCCCUAUAGUCCGUAGUUUUGCCAGAGGUUUCGAGGUGCUCUUAAUCGAGUGUCCCGGGAUGCUGGCAGGUUUACUUUGAAAAAAUUAGAGUGCUCAAAGCAGGCUAUUACGCCUGAAUAUUCGUGCAUGGAAUAAUAGAAUAGGAAGUCGUUUCUAUUUUGUUGGUUUUCGGAAAUCGACUUAAUGAUUAAUAGGGACAGUCGGGGGCAUUUGUAUUCAAACGACAGAGGUGAAAUUCUUGGACCGUUUGAAGACAAACUACUGCGAAAGCAUUUGCCAAGAAUGUUUUCAUUAAUCAAGAACGAAAGUUAAAGGUUCGAAGGCGAUUAGAUACCGCCCUAGUUUUAACCAUAAACGAUGCCAGCUAGCGAUCUGCGGACGUUUUUUUUGUAGACUCCGCAGGAAGCUUCCGGGAAACCAAAGCAUUUGGGUUCCAGGGGAAGUAUGGUUGCAAAGCUGAAACUUAAAGGAAUUGACGGAAGGGCACCACCAGGAGUGGAGCCUGUGGCUUAAUUUGACUCAACACGGGAAAUCUCACCAGGCCCGGACACUGGAAGGAUUGACAGAUUGAUAGCUCUUUCUUGAUUCGGUGGGUGGUGGUGCAUGGCCGUUCUUAGUUGGUGGAGUGAUUUGUCUGGUUAAUUCCGAUAACGAACGAGACUCUGUCCUGCUUCUCUUUUGAGCAGACAAUUCUUCUUAGAGGGACUGGCGACUCUUAGUCGCACGAGAUUGAGCAAUAACAGGUCUGUGAUGCCCUUAGAUGUUCUGGGCCGCACACGCGCUACACUGAAUAGAUCAGCGUGUUCUCCCUUUCCGAGAGGAACGGGUAAACCGCUGAACCCUAUUCGUGGUAGGGAUCGGGGCUUGCAAUUAUUCCCCGUGAACCAGGAAUUCCCAGUAGGCGCAAGUCAUAAGCUUGCGUCGAUUACGUCCCUGCCCUUUGUACACACCGCCCGUCGCUACUACCGAUUGAACGUUUUAGUGAGGUCCUCGGACUGUUUGCCUGGCGGAUUACUCUGCCUGGCUGGCGGGAAGACGACCAAACUGUAGCGUUUAGAGGAAGUAAAAGUCGUAACAAGGUUCCCGUAGGUGAACCUGCAGAAGGAUCAAAUCGU
rnacentral:rRNA from 1 species